rnacentral:lncRNA from 1 species
AAUAAUUGAUCCCAAUCCCUAACCUUAGACCAACCUUCAGCACAAAACCCUAGUCUUUUCCUUAAGAAAAAGAGACCAUCUUCUCAAUCCUGAAACCCUACACACAACAAUGGAGACUACAACAUUAACCUAGACUAGAGACCCUAGCUACUUUAUCUCCUUCUUCCACGACCAAAACCCUAGGACCUAAGAAGAACAGCCGCCAGUUCACUAUCAAGACCAGAACUGCCGCACAUUCUUCUGCCGCCGCUACAAACCAAAACUCGCCGGAAUAGACCAUCUCCAUCGCAACUCUACGCCAGCGAACUACGACCACCAGUUCUUCAACCUUAACCCGUCGGACCAGCCACACACCUGAGUUGCCGUACCCCAAUCCCUUUCCAACGUACUCGUCGGAAAAAUCUCACAGCAGCCACCAACGGACCAGUCACCCUGGACAACCCCUUUCAGAACUUAACCAAGUCACUUGAAACUGAAUCCCCAACGUUCAUAUUUGGGCUAUUUUCACUCGAUUUUAAUUCUUAAAUCUCGCAUAAAACUCAAGCCCGAGAUUUUCUGCUAUAAAUAGUCGAAUCUCAGGCGGCUUUCAGAUCAAUUCUGAUGUCAGGUUUGAGUUUCGAUGCUGAGAUGGAGCUGGUUUAGGUCAGUGUUCGAGGUUCGAUUUGCGCUCCUGCUGAUUUUCCCGUGAAUACUCAAUUUGGUGGUUGAAUUUUGUUGCUCUUCAUCAGGACAAAACUAUAGAUUUGGACUUUCUCUAAUCUAGAAGAAACUUUUGCCAGUGAGGUUUAUUUCUUCCUCCCUUACACUGUUUGUGCUUAAUCUCUUCGUUAAUCUAUUACUUCCCAAUUUGUUUGGAUGUUCAUUGCUCUAUUUUAAUGAUGUUCUACUUUUUGUUCACUCAACGUGUUCUUG